rnacentral:rRNA from 1 species
AUACGGAGGAUGCGAGCGUUAUCCGGAUUUAUUGGGUUUAAAGGGUGCGUAGGCUGUGCGUUAAGUCAGGGGUGAAAUGCCGUCGCUCAACGACGGAGCUGCCCUUGAUACUGGCGUGCUGGAGUACGGAUGCCGUUGGAGGAAUGAGUAGUGUAGCGGUGAAAUGCUUAGAUAUCACUCAGAACACUGAUUGCGAAGGCAUCUGACGAAUCCGUCACUGACGCUGAGGCACGAAAGCGUGGGGAUAGAACAGGAUUAGAUACCCUGGUAUUCCACGCCGUAAACGAUGAUGACUAACCGUCGGCGAUAGACAGCCGGUGGCCAAGCGAAAGCGAUAAGUCAUCCACCUGGGGAGUACGUCGGCAACGAUGAAACUCAAAUGAAUUGACGGGG